GACCCUAUGGAGCGUUAGAUAAAUAUUCACCAGUAGUAAAUAAUCCUCCCAUAGGCGUAAUAAUACUAUUACCUGAAUAACAAACUUUGGUUGGGGUGACCUCGGAGAAUAAAAAAUCCUCCGAGAGAUAAAAUUGAGACUUACCAGUCAAGACAUUUAUCUCUUAUUGAUCCAAAUAAAUUUGAUCAACGGAACAAGUUACCCUAGGGAUAACAGCGCAAUCCUACUUGAGAGUCCAUAUCGAAAGUACGGGUUUACGACCUCAUUUGGAUCAGGACAUACCUGGUGGUGCAACAGCUACCAAGGAUUCGUUU
rnacentral:rRNA from 1 species